rnacentral:rRNA from 1 species
GGCGGGACACGUGGUAUCCUGUCUGAAUAUGGGGGGACCAUCCUCCAAGGCUAAAUACUCCUGACUGACCGAUAGUGAACCAGUACCGUGAGGGAAAGGCGAAAAGAACCCCGGCGAGGGGAGUGAAAAAGAACCUGAAACCGUGUACGUACAAGCAGUGGGAGCCUCUUUAUGGGGUGACUGCGUACCUUUUGUAUAAUGGGUCAGCGACUUAUAUUCUGUAGCAAGGUUAACCGUAUAGGGGAGCCGAAGGGAAACCGAGUCUUAACUGGGCGUUAAGUUGCAGGGUAUAGACCCGAAACCCGGUGAUCUAGCCAUGGGCAGGUUGAAGGUUGGGUAACACUAACUGGAGGACCGAACCGACUAAUGUUGAAAAAUUAGCGGAUGACCUGUGGCUGGGGGUGAAAGGCCAAUCAAACCGGGAGAUAGCUGGUUCUCCCCGAAAGCUAUUUAGGUAGCGCCUCGUGAACUCAUCUUCGGGGGUAGAGCACUGUUUCGGCUAGGGGGCCAUCCCGGCUUACCAACCCGAUGCAAACUACGAAUACCGAAGAAUGUUAUCACGGGAGACACACGGCGGGUGCUAACGUCCGUCGUGAAGAGGGAAACAACCCAGACCGCCAGCUAAGGUCCCAAAGUCAUGGUUAAGUGGGAAACGAUGUGGGAAGGCACAGACAGCCAGGAUGUUGGCUUAGAAGCAGCCAUCAUUUAAAGAAAGCGUAAUAGCUCACUGGUCGAGUCGGCCUGCGCGGAAGAUGUAACGGGGCUAAACCAUGCACCGAAGCUGCGGCAGCGACGCUUA